AAACGGGUGCGGAACACGUACACAACCUUCCUUUAAGUGGGGGAUAGCCCAGAGAAAUUUGGAUUAAUACCCCGUAAAAUUAUGGAAUGGCAUCAUUUUAUAAUUAAAGCUCCGGCGCUUGAAGAUGGGUGUGCGGCUGAUUAGGUAGUUGGUGCGGGUAACGGCCCACCAAGCCAACGAUCAGUAACUGGUGUGAGAGCACGACCAGUCACACGGGCACUGAGACACGGGCCCG
rnacentral:rRNA from 1 species